UACGGGGGGGGCAAGCGUUGUUCGGAAUUACUGGGCGUAAAGGGCGCGUAGGUGGCCAACUAAGUCAGACGUGAAAUCCCUCGGCUUAACCGGGGAACUGCGUCUGAUACUGGUUGGCUUGAGUGUGGGAGAGGGAUGCGGAAUUCCAGGUGUAGCGGUGAAAUGCGUAGAUAUCUGGAGGAACACCGGUGGCGAAGGCGGCAUCCUGGACCACAACUGACGCUGAGGAGCGAAAGCCAGGGGAGCAAACGGG
rnacentral:rRNA from 1 species